UAAUUUGCCCACUGAUAAAAAUUAAAGGGCCGCAGUAUUUUGACUGUGCGAAGGUAGCAUAAUCACUAGUCUUUUAAUUGGAGGUUGUAUGAAUGGUUGAAUGAGAUAUAUACUGUCUUUUUUAAAAUUAUAUAGAAUUUUAUUUUUUAAUUAAAAAGUUAAAAUAAAAUUAAAGGACGAGAAGACCCUAUAGAUCUUUAUUUUUGUUAUUUAUAAAUUAAAAAGAAUUUUAAAAUUUAUAAUUUAAUAAAAAAUUUUAUUGGGGUGAUAUUAAAAUUUAAAAAACUUUUAAAAUUUAUUAACAUAAAUAUAUGAAUAAAUGAUCCAGUUUUAUUGAUUAAAAAAUUAAGUUACCUUAGGGAUAACAGCGUAAUUUUUUUUUAGAGUUCAUAUCGAGAAAAAAGAUUGCGACCUCGAUGUUGGAUUAAGAGUUAUUUUUAGGUGUACAAGUUUAAAG
rnacentral:rRNA from 1 species